UACGUAGGCAGCGAGCGUUGUCCGGAAUUAUUGGGCGUAAAGAGCUCGUAGGCGGUCUGUCGCGUCUGCUGUGAAAACUCAGGGCUUAACCCUGAGCUUGCAGUGGGUACGGGCAGACUAGAGUGCGGUAGGGGAGACUGGAAUUCCUGGUGUAGCGGUGAAAUGCGCAGAUAUCAGGAGGAACACCGAUGGCGAAGGCAGCUCGCUGGGACGGUACUGACGCUAAGGCGCGAAAGCGUGGGGAGCGAACAGG
rnacentral:rRNA from 1 species